GAUGAACGCUAGCGAUAGGCCUAACACAUGCAAGUCGAGGGGUAGCACAGAGUAGCAAUACUUGGGUGACGACCGGCGCACGGGUGAGUAACACGUAUGCAACCUACCUAUAACAGGGAGAUAACCCGGAGAAAUCCGGACUAAUACCCCAUAACACAGGGAUGCCGCAUGGCAAUAUUUGUUAAAGAUUAAUCGGUUAUAGAUGGGCAUGCGUUCCAUUAGCCAGUUGGUGAGGUAACGGCUCACCAAAGCAACGAUGGAUAGGGGAACUGAGAGGUUUGUCCCCCACACUGGAACUGAGACACGGACCAGACUCCUACGGGAGGCAGCAGUGAGGAAUAUUGGUCAAUGGGCGAGAGCCUGAACCAGCCAAAUCGCGUGAAGGAGGACUGCCCUACGGGUUGUAAACUUCUUUUAUAGGGGAAUAAAAAAGGGAACGAGUUCCCUAUUGUAUGUACCCUAUGAAUAAGCAUCGGCUAACUCCGUGCCAGCAGCCGCCGUAACAC
rnacentral:rRNA from 1 species